UGCAUUUGAACUAUUAGGUGCUCCUAGUUGAGUUGGAAGAUUAGGGCUGACAGUUAUAUGUAAGCUUGGUGCCAGAUCUAACUCUUCCAGCUCAGGUUGGAGUCACAGUUAACAACAUUCAAAU
rnacentral:precursor_RNA from 9 species